ensembl:lncRNA
AUGUGAUAUGAUAUGAUAUAAUAUCGUAUAAAUUAAAUAUAUAUAAAGUAUAUAUAACAUAUUAAGAAUAUAUAUAUAUAUAUAUAUAUAUAUAAUAAAAAUAUAGAGAGACUUAAAAAAAUACUUUUACAUAGAAAUACACCUAUAUAUAAAUAAAAUUUCUAUAUUUAGGAAACGGGAGCUGCCAAGGCCCAGCUGCCCCUUUUCCCCCCAUCCCCUAAAUGUCCAAAAUUGCCCUUCUUGCCCUCGCUCCUCCCGGGAAUAUCGCCAGGAUCAUCGGCUGCAUUUAAAGUCCAGCGCCGGGCAGAUCCCUCCUGGUGAGAGCAGGAAUUCCAUGGGCGAAGGAGCCCAUUGUUCCCGGAGAAUGGCACCGGGAAUGGGGAACGCUCCGCUCCCAUCCCCUGUCCCCGCGGAUUUAAGAGCGCAGGAUCCGUCAGAGCAUCCCAAACCGCGGGAUCGCGGCCCGGCGGCUUUAAGAGCCCUGGAAUGCGAUGGGAAGAGGGAGCUGCCGCCAGCUGGCACGGCCCGGAGCUCCGGAUCAAUGCCGGGAUUGUUCGGGACCACGGGAACGAGAAAGGAGAGGAACUGAGAGGGAAAACCAGCUGGAGGCACGGAGCGCAAUCCAGGCUUUCCCGGGGACAUCCAGUGGAAGAGCUGAUUACCAGGGAUAAACAUCCCGAAACAUUCGGGAUCUUUGGAUUUCACCUCUGGUGUGGCCGCCAAAGCCGAUUCCCUUAUCAGCCCUCUGCAGGCUCGGCCCCGGGGGAUCCGGAGCGCCGGGAAUGAUGGAAUUAGCACCGGGAUGAACCUCUGGAAGAUGGGGCGGGGGCCUCGGGCAGAGCAGGGGAUUUAUUGCCGGCUCGGAUCCCUGGGAGUGAAACCAAUGGAUUGAGGACACCUCGGGAGUGCCAACAAUGAACGGGGAACUGGGGAAGGAGGAGCGCCCAUGGUGCCAGGCGGGGCUGGAAGCGCCAUCCCGCAGCUCCCAGGGAUGCAGGAAUGUCCUGGGAAUGAGGGCAGGAUCCCGGAGCGCUGGGUUUGUGAUAAUUGGGAUCUAGUCUGGUUGUCCUGGAUAGAGUUGGGAAUAGAACACCCACAGCGCUGGUUGUCCAUGGCUGUUGGACAGGGAUGAGCUCCUGGCACUGCCGGACAGGGGACACCAAGGGUGACAUCACACGGUGCCACCUGGGCACAGGUGGGGAGCUGCCACACCCACAGCACUCACCUUUCCCGCCUUUGUCCCACCAUUCCCUUCCCAUUUUUGUGCUGGUUUUCCCUGAAUCCCAGAAUCCCAGAGGCUGGAAAAGCCCUCCAAGGCCGUCAAGUCCUGGCUGUGAUCAAUCCCCUCCUCGUACCCAGCCCACAGCACCCUCCAGAGUGCCACCUCCAGGAAUUCCUUGGGCAUUUCUUGAGUGAUUCCUUGGGAAUUACCCAGGGAUGGGGACUCCAAACCUCCCUGGGCAAUUCCAAUGCCUGGCCACCAUUUCCAUGAGGAAAUUCCUACCUGGAAUGGUUUUGAGGAAACAAAUGGUGCUGCUGAUGGGAGAACAGCCCCAUUCCUACCAGGAUCUAAUGGGAGAAGAGCCCCAUUCCCACUGGGAGUUAAUGGAAAAACUCCCACCGAGGAGGGAGCUGAGCUCCACGAUCCCCAGAAACAACGGAGCUGGGAUGCAGCGGAAGAGCUAAAAUUAACCCGAGAGCUCGUUAGCGAGGCGAGGGAACAUCCAAUAAAGUGACAUUUUCCUUGUAACA